CCUGAUGCAGCGACGCCGCGUGAGGGAUGACGGCCUUCGGGUUGUAAACCUCUUUCAGUAGGGAAGAAGCGAAAGUGACGGUACCUGCAGAAGAAGCGCCGGCUAACUACGUGCCAGCAGCCGCGGUAAUACGUAGGGCGCAAGCGUUAUCCGGAAUUAUUGGGCGUAAAGAGCUCGUAGGCGGUUUGUCGCGUCUGCUGUGAAAGACCGGGGCUCAACUCCGGUUCUGCAGUGGGUACGGGCAGACUAGAGUGCAGUAGGGGAGACUGGAAUUCCUGGUGUAGCGGUGAAAUGCGCAGAUAUCAGGAGGAACACCGAUGGCGAAGGCAGGUCUCUGGGCUGUAACUGACGCUGAGGAGCGAAAGCAUGGGGAGCGAACAGGAUUAGAUACCCUGGUAGUCCAUGCCGUAAACGUUGGGCACUAGGUGUGGGGGACAUUCCACGUUUUCCGCGCCGUAGCUAACGCAUUAAGUGCCCCGCCUGGGGAGUACGGCCGCAAGGCUAAAACUCAAAGGAAUUGACGGGGGCCCGCACAAGCGGCGGAGCAUGCGGAUUAAUUCGAUGCAACGCGAAGAACCUUACCAAGGCUUGACAUGAACCGGAAAGACCUGGAAACAGGUGCCCCGCUUGCGGUCGGUUUACAGGUGGUGCAUGGUUGUCGUCAGCUCGUGUCGUGAGAUGUUGGGUUAAGUCCCGCAACGAGCGCAACCCUCGUUCUAUGUUGCCAGCGCGU
rnacentral:rRNA from 1 species